rnacentral:rRNA from 1 species
UUGGAGGGCAAGUCUGGUGCCAGCAGCCGCGGUAAUUCCAGCUCCAAUAGCGUAUAUUAAAGUUGUUGCAGUUAAAAAGCUCGUAGUUGAAUUUCGGGAUCAAUUUGCCGGUCGAGACCUCUGGUACGUACUUGUAUUAUUGAUUUCUUUCAUUCUGAUAAAUCAUUGAUGUCGUUAAUUUGAUGACUUUGAGGAAUCGGAACUUUUACUUUGAAAAAAUUAGAGUGUUUAAAGCAGGCUUAUUAGGCUUGAAUACAUUAGCAUGGAGUAAUGAAAUAGGACGAUUGAUCCUAUUUUUGUUGGUUUCUAGGAUUGACGUAAUGAUUAAUAGGGAUAGUUGGGGGCAUUAGUAUUCAAUUGUCAGAGGUGAAAUUCUUGGAUUUAUUGAAGACUAACUACUGCGAAAGCAUUUGCCAAGGAUGUUUUCAUUAAUCAAGAACGAAAGUUAGGGGAUCGAAGACGAUCAGAUACCGUCGUAGUCUUAACCAUAAACUAUGCCGACUAGGAAUCAGACGAUGUUAAUUUUUUAAUGACUCGUUUGGCACCUUACGGGAAACCAAAGUGUUUGGGUUC